UCAGCGAAUGGAUUAGAGCUUGCUCUUAUGAAGUUAGCGGCGGACGGGUGAGUAACACGUGGGUAACCUGCCCAUAAGACUGGGAUAACUCCGGGAAACCGGGGCUAAUACCGGAUAACAUUUUGAACCGCAUGGUUCGAAAUUGAAAGGCGGCUUCGGCUGUCACUUAUGGAUGGACCCGCGUCGCAUUAGCUAGUUGGUGAGGUAACGGCUCACCAAGGCAACGAUGCGUAGCCGACCUGAGAGGGUGAUCGGCCACACUGGGACUGAGACACGGCCCAGACUCCUACGGGAGGCAGCAGUAGGGAAUCUUCCGCAAUGGACGAAAGUCUGACGGAGCAACGCCGCGUGAGUGAUGAAGGCUUUCGGGUCGUAAAACUCUGUUGUUAGGGAAGAACAAGUGCUAGUUGAAUAAGCUGGCACCUUGACGGUACCUAACCAGAAAGCCACGGCUAACUACGUGCCAGCAGCCGCGGUAAUACGUAGGUGGCAAGCGUUAUCCGGAAUUAUUGGGCGUAAAGCGCGCGCAGGUGGUUUCUUAAGUCUGAUGUGAAAGCCCACGGCUCAACCGUGGAGGGUCAUUGGAAACUGGGAGACUUGAGUGCAGAAGAGGAAAGUGGAAUUCCAUGUGUAGCGGUGAAAUGCGUAGAGAUAUGGAGGAACACCAGUGGCGAAGGCGACUUUCUGGUCUGUAACUGACACUGAGGCGCGAAAGCGUGNGGAGCAAACAGGAUUAGAUACCCUGGUAGUCCACGCCGUANACGAUGAGUGCUAAGUGUUAGAGGGUUUCCGCCCUUUAGUGCUGAAUUAACGCAUUAAGCACUCCGCCUGGGGAGUACGGCCGCAAGGCUGAAACUCAAAGGAAUUGACGGGGGCCCGCACAAACGGUGGAGCAUGUGGUUU
rnacentral:rRNA from 1 species